rnacentral:tRNA from 1 species
AGGGAUGUAACUCAGUGGUGAAGCAUUUGCCUAGCAUGCACAAGGCCCUGGGUUUAAUCCCCAAUAUCACAA